rnacentral:pre_miRNA from 1 species
AGUGGAACAGAUGGGUCAAUUGGUGGUUCUAUUCCAAGUUUUCUGAGGAAUCUUCAUACUGAUUUUCAAAGUGGUUGCACCAAUUUGCAAUCCCACUAGCAAU